GCCAGUGUGGUGUAGUGGGUUGAGCACUGGAGUACAACUCCAGCAACCAGGGUUCAAAUCUCUGCUUGGACA